rnacentral:rRNA from 1 species
AUACGUAGGGGGCAAGCGUUAUCCGGAUUUAUUGGGUUUAAAGGGUGCGUAGGCGGUUUGCUAAGCGGGAGGUGAAAUGCCGGCGCUCAACGUCGGAAGUGCCUCCCGAACUGGUGGACUUGAAUGACUCUGCCGUGGGAGGAAUGUGUAGUGUAGCGGUGAAAUGCUUAGAGAUUACACAGAACACCGAUUGCGAAGGCAUCUCACGAAGGGUUGAUUGACGCUGAGGCACGUAAUCGUGGGGAUCAAACAGGAUUAGAUACCCUGGUAGUCCACGCAGUAAACGAUGAUGGCUAACCGCUGGGCUUAUCAGUUCAGUGGCCAAGCGAAAGCGAUAAGCCAUCCACCUGGGGAGUACGACCGCAAGGUUGAAACUCAAAUGAAUUGACGGGG